rnacentral:rRNA from 1 species
GAUGAACGCUGGCGGCGUGCCUAAUACAUGCAAGUCGAGCGAACAGACGAGGAGCUUGCUCCUCUGACGUUAGCGGCGGACGGGUGAGUAACACGUGGAUAACCUACCUAUAAGACUGGGAUAACUUCGGGAAACCGGAGCUAAUACCGGAUAAUAUAUUGAACCGCAUGGUUCAAUAGUGAAAGACGGUUUUGCUGUCACUUAUAGAUGGAUCCGCGCCGCAUUAGCUAGUUGGUAAGGUAACGGCUUACCAAGGCAGCGAUGCGUAGCCGACCUGAGAGGGUGAUCGGCCACACUGGAACUGAGACACGGUCCAGACUCCUACGGGAGGCAGCAGUAGGGAAUCUUCCGCAAUGGGCGAAAGCCUGACGGAGCAACGCCGCGUGAGUGAUGAAGGUCUUCGGAUCGUAAAACCCUGUUAUUAGGGAAGAACAAAUGUGUAAGUAACUAUGCACGUCUUGACGGUACCUAAUCAGAAAGCCACGGCUAACUACGUG